CCUACGGGAGGCAGCAGUGGGGAAUCUUGCGCAAUGGGCGAAAGCCUGACGCAGCAACGCCGCGUGCGGGAAGAAGGCCCUAGGGUUGUAAACCGCUUUCAGUAGGAACGAAAAUAACGGUACCUGCAGAAGAAGGUGCGGCCAACUACGUGCCAGCAGCCGCGGUGACACGUAGGCACCAAGCGUUGUCCGGAUUUAUUGGGCGUAAAGAGCUCGUAGGCGGUUCAGUAAGUCGGGUGUGAAAACUCUGGGCUUAACCCAGAGCCGCCACUCGAUACUGCUGUGACUUGAGUUCGGUAGGGGAGCAGGGAAUUCCUAGUGUAGCGGUGAAAUGCGCAGAUAUUAGGAGGAACACCGGUGGCGAAGGCGCUGCUCUGGGCCGAUACUGACGCUGAGGAGCGAAAAGCGUGGGUAGCAAACAGGAUUAGAUACCCUGGUAGUCCACGCCGUAAACGUUGGGCACUAGGUGUGGGUUCCAACCAACGGAAUCCGCGCCGUCGCUAACGCAUUAAGUGCCCCGCCUGGGGAGUACGGCGGCAACGCUAAAACUUAAAAGGAAAUUAGACGGCNGAGANGCGACGACGACACAGGAGAG
rnacentral:rRNA from 1 species